ACUGGCAGACAUACUGACACACACACUGACAGACAGACAUAUUGACACACACACACUAUGUCUGUGUGUGUGUUUGUCAGUAUGUCUGUGUGUGUGUGUCAAUAUGUCUGUCUAUCAGUGUGUGUGUCAGUAUGUCUGU